rnacentral:rRNA from 1 species
CGGACCGCGCACGGUGAGUAACGCGUAUCCAACCUGCCACCACUUGGGAUAACCUUGCGAAAGUAAGACUAAUACCCAAUGAUAUCUCUAGAAGACAUCUGAAAAGAGAUUAAAGAUUUAUCGGUGAUGGAUGGGGAUGCGUCUGAUUAGCUUGUUGGCGGGGUAACGGCCCACCAAGGCAACGAUCAGUAGGGGUUCUGAGAGGAAGGUCCCCCACAUUGGAACUGAGACACGGUCCAA